CGGUGUCUGGUCCAUAAAGUUGUUCUCUGGUGAGAGAAUGAGCUGGCUCCUGGCCACGAUGGUCUUCUUCAUGGGGAAGUCCCACACGGCACAAUCUGCCACAUGGUGUUUAGCUCCUUGGCCCCGGAACCCACUGAAAUGGAAGCUUCUGGAAAAUGCACAGGUCAAGUCCUCUCCCAGGGCUUCAGAUCUUUCUGCACCCAGCAUGAGCCGCAUGGUUCUUCUCCUUCCUUUCAGGAGACGACUACACUUGAGAUUCAAGAACUGGCUUGGAUCCCUAAGGGCAUGGAAGGCCUCCUCUGCUGGUGGAAGGAAGUCUCUGACAAUGAGCUCACAGCCGGAUCCAGGAGAACUACCCAUAAACACACAGCUGUGAGGGCCCAGCAGGACUUUGUAAACCAUCUAACCUGGUGAAUCAAGGAAGACUUCCUGGAGGAAGAGAUAUUUAGGCUGAGAUCAGAAAGUCUCAGUAAAGUAAGAAUAAUCAGGUGAAAGGUUAGGGGUGGGAGAGAGAAGAUGGUUUUGUUUCAGGGUAAACAGAUGGAGCAAAGACCUGGAAGGAAGAUGCAACACAGCGGUCUAGGGAGCAGAAAAAUAUCUUUAAAUUAAUUUUUUAAAUUUGGCCUGGCCCACGACUUUUGGAAGUUCCCCAGGCCAGGAAUCAAACCAGCGUCACAGCUGUAACAGAACCACAGUAGUGACAAUCCUGGCUCCUUAACCCACUGAGCCACCAGUGAGCUCUGUAAGAUCUUUAAAUCUUUCAUAGUAGGCCAUGGAGAGUCUCAUUUUGAUGUAUUAAUUUAUCCAUUCAUUUAUCAGAAAUUUGGGGUCUACCAUGUGCCAUAGGUAGGUGCUGCGGAUGCAGCUGAACGCACAGAUAAUCACUCCUCCCCAUGGAGUUGACAUUCUAGUGGUUGGAGAUGGGCAAGAAACAAAUAUGUCAGGUGAUGAGAAAUAAAGCAAGUUCAGGGGAUAGAGUGACAGGGUGCUAUCUUGUGAUCAGGGAAGGGCCUCUCUGAGGAGGUGACACUUGAAUCCCUAACUGAGUUGAAGGAGGGAGACAUGUAGAUAGAAAAAGUGUUCUAGGCAGAUGCAACAGUAAGUGCAAAGGCCCUGAGAUAGAAGUAUGUAUAGAGUGUUUAAGAAACAACAAAGAGGAGUUCCCACUGUCGUACAGUGGGUUAAGGAUCUGGCAUUGCUGCAGCUAUGGCUCAGAUUUAAUCCCUGGCCUGGGAACUUCCAUAUGCUGUGGGUGUGGAGAAAAAAAAAAAAAAAAAAAAAGAAAAGAAAAACAAAGAAGGAAGGAAGAAAGAAAUACAAAAGAGGGUCAUGCUCUGAGAAUGGAGUGAGUGAUGGGAAGAGAGUGGGAGAUAAUUAGAAAUGAAUAUCCAGGGAUCAGGAUAUGUAAGAGGCCUCAUGGUUGUGGUUUUGAAUCUAAAUUAGAGAGGAAAUCCUUGGAAAGUUUUGAAAUGGGGAGAGACAUUUUCUUUCUGUUUCAACAGAAUUAGUCUGCGGAUGUCCUUUGUUACUAUGACUUGAAAUCCAAAAGUAACAAGAACAACAAAGAUGAGUAAUUCUGAAACAUAAAAAUAAGACCAAAUAUCACCACAGAAAAGUUAAAAAAAAAACUGGGAGAAAAUAUUUGCACUUCAUAUUAUAGACUCCCUAAUGUCCAUCAUAUGUAAAGAGUUUCUCAGAAUGAAUAAUAAAAUAUAUACAAUCCCAGAGGGAAAAACUUGAGCAAAAAGUAUAGUCAGAAUGUCCACUGAGAAUGAAACACAAAAGUUCUUUAAUACAUGAAAUGAUACUGGGCCUCUCAUAAGCUUCGUGCCAGUUAAAAUAAGAGAAACAUGUAAUACUAAUUUUUAUAAAACUUUGGAAAGAUCAAUAAUGCCCAGGAUGCUGAGGCUGUGGGGAAGCGAGCUAGUUAACAUGUGGACAUCAGUCCUCCCCAGUGGAGAUGAAUUUGAUGAUGUUCAUAAAAAUUACACUCUCAUACUAAGUGAAGUAAGUCAGAAAGAGAAAGAUAAAUACUUUAUGAUAUCACCGAUAUCUGGAAUCUAAUAUACAGCACAAAUGAACCUUUCCAC